UGAAUGCAUCAAUGUCAGUCGCUCUGGAUAAGAGCGUCUGCUAAAUGGUAGGGA
rfam:Salmo salar isolate Sally breed double haploid chromosome ssa05, whole genome shotgun sequence.